AACGAACGCUGGCGGCAUGCCUAACACAUGCAAGUCGAACGAGGGCUUCGGCCUUAGUGGCGCACGGGUGCGUAACGCGUGGGGAUCUGCCCUUUGCUUCGGAAUAACAGUUAGAAAUGACUGCUAAUACCGGAUGAUGUCGUAAGACCAAAGAUUUAUCGGCAAAGGAUGAACCCGCGUAGGAUUAGCUAGUUGGUGGGGUAAAGGCCUACCAAGGCGACGAUCCUUAGCUGGUCUGAGAGGAUGAUCAGCCACACUGGGACUGAGACACGGCCCAGACUCCUACGGGAGGCAGCAGUGGGGAAUAUUGGACAAUGGGCGAAAGCCUGAUCCAGCAAUGCCGCGUGAGUGAUGAAGGCCUUAGGGUUGUAAAGCUCUUUUACCCGGGAUGAUAAUGACAGUACCGGGAGAAUAAGCUCCGGCUAACUCCGUGCCAGCCGCCGCGGUAAAAC
rnacentral:rRNA from 1 species